CCCCAGCAGGAGACCAAAAGAAGUGAAAUAACAAGGGGAUAGGUCCUCACCAGAGCAUCUGAGUCCCGUUUUUCAGUGCCUAAUGGAAACCGAGAGCAAGGCCUUGUUUUCUAUUGCAUUGAGAGCCCUUCGAUCCCUUGCUCUAGAUGUGUGUUUGAAAGCGAAAUGCAUUCUCAGUGACACCAGUUGCACUUUUAUCAACUCCUGGAGAGAAACCGUCAAUUCGCAAGUCAUCUGGGGCGUCUGUCAUUGGCAUUUAGAGAGGAAUUGGCCCAAACACAUCAAGCAUCCGGAAAUGUACCAACAGAUAAAGAAUUUACAAUUUCUUACUUCAGAGGAAGAAUUCACGGCGGAAAUGGAAAGGAUUUGAACAUAGGAAACUCGUGACGAAAGCACAAAAAAGGCCGUAGAUUAUAUCUUCCACAACUAUGGAGCUGAUGGCCGCCAAGCCCCAAUGACAGCUUGGGCCAAAUUUGCCACGCUUGAGGUCCUCUCCCACAACUUACACAUUGAAAGAUACCACCUAACGAUCAAGAUGGUCCUCAAACCCAACAUGAAUCUAGUUUUGUUUUGCUUGGGGUUGAAAAAGAUCAAUAAGUAUUUUUCAAGAGAAACAAUUCUUGCCACUGAAGAAAUUAGAGGGAUAGGCCUCUCAAAAGCGCAAAGUGACUACAACGGCUGCCAUCCCACAGCCAUCGAGGGCUACGGGUGGAAAAAGUCCGGAGAUGGGUUUUAAAUUAUCAAAAUCCAUGAGUACAAUUGCAAUUGCCGACAAUAUGCCUUCGGGUGCAAAACCAGUUGAGGAGACAUCUACAAGACUCUGCGUUCUUCUGGCGUAAUUUUUGACACUCAAUAGAAGACGAAGAAAGUGCUUUAGGGCAUUUGAAAGAUGAAUGAGCAAAUGGCCUUUGAAAUAUCCUGUAAUUCUGCAUUUAUAUUUUCAAUGCAGAUAGAUUGUCAUGGGAACAGGUAUUAUUGACAAGGAACCGUACUGGAGAAGAUGGGGAGGAAGCCAAGAAACAUUGUGGUACAGUUACACGUGCCAUUGGGAGCGGCGGCACAUCUGGGUAGACAUUUCAAGCAACACCAAGCACCAUGGAACAAUCUGAAGGACAAGAGAGGGUGAAGGAAUCUGUAAUAGUUGAUGUUGACUGUACAAUAAACGGAAGACAUUUGUC